rnacentral:rRNA from 1 species
GCUUGUCUCAAAGAUUAAGCCAUGCAUGUCUAAGUAUAAACUGCUUAUACUGUGAAACUGCGAAUGGCUCAUUAAAUCAGUUAUAGUUUAUUUGAUGGUACCUACUACUCGGAUAACCGUAGUAAUUCUAGAGCUAAUACGUGCGCACAACCCGACUUCUGGAAGGGUCGUAUUUAUUAGAUAAAAGGCCAGCCGGGCUUUGCCCGACCUGCGGUGAAUCAUGAUAACUUCACGAAUCGUAUGGCCUUGUGCCGACGAUGUUUCAUUCAAAUUUCUUCCCUAUCAACUUUCGAUGUUUGGGUAUUGGCCAAACAUGGUUGCAACGGGUAACGGAGGGUUAGGGCUCGACCCCGGAGAAGGAGCCUGAGAAACGGCUACUACAUCCAAGGAAGGCAGCAGG